rfam:Halobacterium hubeiense strain JI20-1 genome assembly, chromosome: I
CGGCACGGAGGAUAGAGUAAGUCGCCUCACGGCGGCUGGCCGAGAAAUUCUCC